ACGGCCUGACUUCUCUUCAGAUCACCUAAUCUCUGCCUUUUACUCAAGGUUUCAGUGGAAAGGAGCAAGUCUGGCUUUUUAACCAAUUUAUUUUUUAUUUUUAAUUAUGUAU